rnacentral:pre_miRNA from 12 species
AGCCGCCUGUGCAAACUGAUUAUCACAGGCGGUUGACUUAAGCCAACCGCCUGUGAUACUCAGUUUGCACAGGCGGAC